rnacentral:rRNA from 1 species
UGGGGAAUUUUGGACAAUGGGCGCAAGCCUGAUCCAGCCAUGCCGCGUGCGGGAAGAAGGCCUUCGGGUUGUAAACCGCUUUUGUCAGGGAAGAAACGAGUUUCUCUAAUACAGAGACUUUAUGACGGUACCUGAAGAAUAAGCACCGGCUAACUACGUGCCAGCAGCCGCGGUAAUACGUAGGGUGCAAGCGUUAAUCGGAAUUACUGGGCGUAAAGCGUGCGCAGGCGGUUAUGCAAGACAGAUGUGAAAUCCCCGGGCUCAACCUGGGAACUGCAUUUGUGACUGCAUAGCUGGAGUGCGGCAGAGGGGGAUGGAAUUCCGCAUGUAGCAGUGAAAUGCGUAGAGAUGCGGAGGAACGCCGAUGGCGAAGGCAGCCUCCUGGGCCAGUACUGACGCUCAUGCACGAAAGCGUGGGGAGCAAACA